UGACAGGAGAUACAUAUAGAAACAGGCUUUCAUAGAGAAAUGUUUAAAUAUUCCGUUUAUUAUUUAUAAGUAGGAAAUUUCAGUUUACUACUCCAAAGAGGAAGUGGCAAAAUUAAUUCAAACCCUCUAAAGAGCAAUAUGACGUGUGAAAUUUAUGUCUUUAGUAAGUCAACAAUUUGUAUCUUUCAGAUGACAUAAUUUGGGACUGGGACUGGACUGGGCACCAGAUGAGUGUUUUCAUACACAGAAAUGCUAUGGAAAAGUCCUGACACAUGCUAAGUUGGUGGAGCAGAGGUCGAAUUCGAAUCUGAUGAGAAGGAGCCAUACUCAUGAAAGAGAAAAAUGCCAAGUCACCACAAUUGUUUAGAGAAUGAACCUGGUGAUAGUGUGUUUUCAUAAAGUAGACAAUUGCUUAUGUAUUUUUGGCCUCUUGAACUCUGCAGAUCUGUCCUAAUAUUGUGCAAGCCAUAGGUUUCACCGUUAACAUAUAUCAAUAACAUUCAACCGUAAACGCCGGGACCGGGAGGCAUAUUUAGGUCACGAAAACGAUUCGGAUUAAAUACAUACAGAUAUCUAAUUUACCUUUAUUGUAUAUAGUAAUGUAAAAUAAAAAUUGUCAAGCUAUUAA